rnacentral:rRNA from 1 species
CCUACGGGAGACUGCAGUAGGGAAUAUUGCUCAAUGGGGGCAACCCUGAAGCAGCCACGCCGCGUGGAGGAUGAAGGUUUUCGGGUUGUAAACUCCUUUUGUUAGAGAAGAUAAUGACGGUAUCUAACGAAUAAGCACCGGCUAACUCCGUGCCAGCAGCCGCGGUAAUACGGAGGGUGCAAGCGUUACUCGGAAUCACUGGGCGUAAAGAGCGCGUAGGCGGGAUAGCAAGUCAGAUGUGAAAUCCUAUGGCUUAACCAUAGAACUGCAUUUGAAACUGUUAUUCUAGAGUAUGGGAGAGGUAGGUAGAAUUCUUGGUGUAGGGGUAAAAUCCGUAGAGAUCAAGAGGAAUACUCAUUGCGAAGGCGACCUGCUAGAACAUAACUGACGCUGAUGCGCGAAAGCGUGGGGAGCAAACAGGAUUAGAUACCCCAGUAGUC